GGGAAUGUAGCCCAGUGGUAGGGCAGGUGUUUACCAGGCACCAGGGCCCAGGUUCUAUCCCCAGCACCCCCA
rnacentral:tRNA from 1 species